AUGACACACCAUUUCGGAGCGGAAGCGGGACCAAUAAAAACCCUUGCCUCCGCCGAACCACGGUGCGGCGGUCCCGGGAUGGCGGCGCCGGCAGAACCCGGUGAAAUCGAGGGCUACCUCGGCCUCCGCGACGUGCGGGUCAAGCUGGACCUGGGUAAGGCCCGAGGCAGGGGAGAAGAAGGCGCGGGCGCGGGCGCGGGCGGAGGAUUCGCCGUCUGCUUCUGGCUCUACCUCUCCGGCUCCGCGAGGCCUUCCCCGGUUAUCCUUCACCAGAUAACUGCAGGAGAUGGCAAUAAGUUGCCAUUUCUUGCUUUAAGUGAAGGAAAUAAGCUGCUUCUCUUCCCAUUGCUGAGGUUGCACAAGCAAGCUCCUAGUUCCUCUAAUUCCUCUCCAUGGACUGACACGACGUAUAUAUCGGCUGUAAAUGAAUGCCCUCUUGAGCACUGGAUACACAUUGGAUGCGAGGUUACUGAAAAUGUUAUGCGCCUUCACAUUGAUGGCGAUCUAGUUGCCGAGGCUCAUCUUUGUUCACUAUCUAGCCAGCCAGACAAUCAAGAUGAUGCAUACCAAGUUUGCUUACUUGGAAACAAUAGCAAGGUCGAUGGCUAUGUCUACAAUGUCCAAGUGCUAUCUAUGCUAGGGACCAUACAGGAGCAAUACGCAGAGAAUCCACCGUCUAAGCUAUCUAUUGACUACUCGUGCUGCGAUGGAAUUGAGGAGGGCGAUGAUGGCAUUUGGUGCAUUGUCGGUGGGAAGGCUUCUUGUCGGAGGAACUUCAUGUUGGAAGUAGUACUAACAAACGCUUUUGGUGAACAUAUGAACAAGGAUACACAGAUUGUUGCUUCACUCGUCUAUGCUGACAAUGGAGCAUUAGUCGAGAAAUCAAGGGAUGAUGCAGAACCUCCCCUACUGAUUGCUUGCGAAGGACUUGAAUACCCAGCUGAAAGCAGGCCUCUUCCAAUUCUUCGUGGGCGUGCACUAUUUAAGCUCAAGAUAUCUCAGCUCUCUUCUAAAUGUGACAAUAAGCUGUUCCGCAUUUAUUUCUCAACACUUCACACACGCAAAUAUCCUUUUCUGGAGGCAUCUUCCAAGCCAAUUCGCUGUAUAUCCCGAGGCCGCCCCAGCCGUCCAUUGGGUGCUGCAAAGCGGUCAAGUUCUGCAACAGUCGAUGAAAUUCACUUGCUUAACAAUGGACAAGGGCUUGAUCGUGAUGGCAAAGCAAAUGCUUGCUCACUGUCUCAUGAUCAAAGUUCAGUGGCGUGUUUGCAUCCAUCCAAGUUUCUCAAGGUAGAAGGCGACGGAGCAGAGACUCACAAAAUGGUAUCCCAGAGUAAGCAGACUAGAAAGAUGGUAGUGGAAGCACAAAGUGCCAGAACUGAAUCUACGAUGUCAGACUCCGACAGCAUUGAUGCGAGAAGUUCUUGGAGUGGAUCAGAUAAGGAUGAAGCUGAAACUCUUUCAGAUGCUAUGAUCUUCAGAUAUUGUCUAGAAGGCACGUAUGAGCAGUCAACAUUUCUUAAAGGUGCAGCUUCUUCCAUCAAUGUGGACGAUUUGAUCACACUUGCAAAUGAGGUCUCUUUGUAUAGUGGAUGCUCCCAUCACAGAAACCAAAUAUUAAUUUCAAAGCAAUUGCUUGAAGAGGGUGCUGUAACUUGGAGCAUAAUCUCAAAGAACAAGGAGCGUGCUCUUUGGUCAUCUGCAGUUCCUGAAAUCAUGUCAAAAUUUAUGGACAUUGCCCAUUCUACGAACAGAGGUUUGUCAGAACAGGAUCUGGAGGUUUUAAAAGGAAUUGCUGGCUGUGGGGCUGAUCUUGGAAGGAACGAAUUUGAUAGGCUAUGGUAUUGGCUAUACCCAGUGGCCGUUUCUCUGUCGAAAGAUAAAAUCAACAGCCUAUGGGGUUGCACUGCACCUGCGUGGAUAGAGGGAUUGAUUACAACAGAGGAAGCCGAGAAUGCGCUAAGAAGCUCCAGGGAACUGCUCAAGAAACCGGGAACAUUCGUUCUUAGAUUCCCUACCACACGAAGCUGGCCACAUCCAGAUGCUGGAAGCCUCGUUGUCACCUAUGUUGGCUCCGAUAACUCAAUUCACCACAGACUUCUCUCCCUGGAUGUCAGCGAUGCUAGGGCUGGGAGUCUACAAGAUUUGCUGCUGCAGGAGCCUGAACUACUCCAGUUAGGCAGGGUUGAUCGCCUUCCGACUGCCAUGAAAUAUUAUUCCAGUGUGCUAUAA
rnacentral:rRNA from 1 species